UAAUACAUGCAAGUCGAACGAACUCUGGUAUUGAUUGGUGCUUGCAUCAUGAUUUACAUUUGAGUGAGUGGCGAACUGGUGAGUAACACGUGGGAAACCUGCCCAGAAGCGGGGGAUAACACCUGGAAACAGAUGCUAAUACCGCAUAACAACUUGGACCGCAUGGUCCGAGUUUGAAAGAUGGCUUCGGCUAUCACUUUUGGAUGGUCCCGCGGCGUAUUAGCUAGAUGGUGGGGUAAAGGCUCACCAUGGCAAUGAUACGUAGCCGACCUGAGAGGGUAAUCGGCCACAUUGGGACUGAGACACGGCCCAAACUCCUACGGGAGGCAGCAGUAGGGAAUCUUCCACAAUGGACGAAAGUCUGAUGGAGCAACGCCGCGUGAGUGAAGAAGGGUUUCGGCUCGUAAAACUCUGUUGUUAAAGAAGAACAUAUCUGAGAGUAACUGUUCAGGUAUUGACGGUAUUUAACCAGAAAGCCACGGCUAACUACGUGCCAGCAGCCGCGGUAAUACGUAGGUGGCAAGCGUUGUCCGGAUUUAUUGGGCGUAAAGCGAGCGCAGGCGGUUUUUUAAGUCUGAUGUGAAAGCCUUCGGCUCAACCGAAGAAGUGCAUCGGAAACUGGGAAACUUGAGUGCAGAAGAGGACAGUGGAACUCCAUGUGUAGCGGUGAAAUGCGUAGAUAUAUGGAAGAACACCAGUGGCGAAGGCGGCUGUCUGGUCCUGUAACUGACGCUGAGGCUCGAAAGUAUGGGUAGCAAACAGGAUUAGAUACCCUGGUAGUCCAUACCGUAAACGAUGAAUGCUAAGUGUUGGAGGGUUUCCGCCCUUCAGUGCUGCAGCUAACCGCAUUAAGCAUUCCG
rnacentral:rRNA from 2 species